GACGAACGCUGGCGGCGUGCCUAAUACAUGCAAGUAGGACGCAGUUGCGAACGGGUGAGUAACGCGUAGGUAACUACCUAUUAGAGGGGGAUAACUCUUGGAAACGAUAGCUAAUACCGCAUACUAGUAGAUGGACCUGCGUUGUAUUAGCUAGUAGGUAGGGGAAUGGCCUACCUAGGCAACGAUACAUAGCCGACCUGAGAGGGGUAUCGGCCAAACUGGGACUGGAAAAAGGCCCAGACUCCGUAGGGAGGCAACAGUAGGGAAACGUCGGCAAAGGGGGGAACCCUGACCGGGCAACGGCGCGGGAGUGAAGAAGGUUUUCGGAUCGGAAAGCUCUGUUGGUAAGGAAGCGGUACUUAACCAGAAAGGGACGGCUAACUACGUGCCAGCAGCCGCGGUAAUUC
rnacentral:rRNA from 1 species